rnacentral:rRNA from 1 species
UACGGGGGGAGCAAGCGUUGUUCGGAUUUACUGGGCGUAAAGGGCGCGUAGGCGGCGCGACAAGUCACUUGUGAAAUCUCCGGGCUUAACUCGGAGCGGCCAAGUGAUACUGUCGUGCUAGAGUGCGGAAGGGGCAACUGGAAUUCUCGGUGUAGCGGUGAAAUGCGUAGAUAUCAAGAGGAACACCUGAGGUGAAGACGGGUUGCUGGGCUGACACUGACGCUGAGGCGCGAAAGCCAGGGGAGCAAACGGG